CACCGGUUCUAACUCUACCGUGAUAUCAACUCUGUAGCGGUUUAUCCGAGCAUUGCAAUUCAUUCGCUUUCGCAAAUGGCUUUCCCAAUUCAUUUAUGCAUGUGCGCGGCACAUUAUUUCUUCUGCGCGGCUACAGUGGAAGAAGUGCGCGGCCGCGCGCACGCGCAGCUUAGAGGGAACAUUGGUGAUGUCCACAUGUUUUUGUUGAAGAAAUCCACCAAUCUCCACCAAUAAAGUUGUUGUGUGGUGGGCGUUCUGGCGCAAUAUGGCUGCCGUCGCAUCAUCCAGGUGGAUGCUGCACACUGGUGGUUGAUUAGGAGAUACCCCCCUGAUCAUGUAAAGCGCUUUGAGUGCCUAGUGUGACGAGUCAGCUGCCUCCUCCCUGAUAAUCACCGGCACCCCGUCCUAAAUCGCCGCCCUUCACCAGGCUCCCGAUAGGAGUGGGUGUGGGAGAGAGGAGGGGCGCUGGACGAGUCAGGGCUGGCGGCGUGUGAUGGGGCACACCUGAAGGAAAUGGAGCCUCAUCACCGCCACUCUUUAAAAGCCCAACGCACCUCUCCUCAAGAGACCGGUCUCUUCCCCGUGCAUGCACACUGGUGUCCUCGUGGGUCCAGGAAGGGUGCGUUGAGGGACUCCCGCGCCACCAGAGACGUGAGCUACCGGACCCGCGGUCCGGACGAGAACCGCACCCUUUUAUAUGGCCAUCCGGCCAGGAUCAGCCUGUCGAUCCCCAUCAAGCGCCGCAGCCAGCGAGAAGGAUCCUUCAGCGGGAAGAAGCCGCCACCCCUCGCGCCCCGGACCGAAGAGGGUAGUGCGUGUGGCCACCGGACUCCGCCCCUUACCUGGACCCUUCCUCCAUGAACACUGCCAGACCCCCACGAACCCCGCAGCACGACGAGGACACCAGAUUCCCUGUUGUUUUGGACCCUUCCUCCAUGAACACUGCCAGACCCCCACGAACCCCGCAGCACGACGAGGACACCAGAUUCCCUGUUGUUUUGGACACUGUUCCCCUUUUGGACACUUUAUUCCCCCUUGUUUUGGUUUUUCUGUUAAAUAAAAACCUCUCCGAAGGCCUGACGCCACGCCCACUGUGUCUGUCGUUGGCUCGUCCCGUCACACUAGAAAAGCACUAUAUAAAAAAAAGUAAUGAAAAUUAUAGAGUCUAGCAUUUCUAUCGCAAAAAGGUG
ensembl:lncRNA